rnacentral:rRNA from 1 species
UCCUACGGGAGGCAGCAGUGGGGAAUAUUGGACAAUGGGCGCAAGCCUGAUCCAGCCAUGCCGCGUGUGUGAAGAAGGCCUUCGGGUUGUAAAGCACUUUUGUUGGGGAAGAAACCGGCCGGAUUAAUACUUCGGUUGAAUGACGGUACCCAAAGAAUAAGCACCGGCUAACUUCGUGCCAGCAGCCGCGGUAAUACGAAGGGUGCAAGCGUUACUCGGAAUUACUGGGCGUAAAGCGUGCGUAGGCGGUUUGUUAAGUCUGUCGUGAAAGCCCCGGGCUCAACCUGGGAAUGGCGAUGGAUACUGGCAAGCUAGAGUGUGUCAGAGGAUGGUGGAAUUCCCGGUGUAGCGGUGAAAUGCGUAGAGAUCGGGAGGAACACCAGUGGCGAAGGCGGCCAUCUGGGACAACACUGACGCUGAGCACC